rnacentral:rRNA from 1 species
GUUGAUAAGGUUAAGUGAAUAAGGGCGCACGGUGGAUGCCUUGGCACUAGGAGCCGAUGAAGGGCGGGGCUACGACCGAUAUGCUUGGGGGAGGUGUAGGUAAGCUAUGAGGCG